rnacentral:rRNA from 1 species
AUUGAACGCUGGCGGCAGGCCUAACACAUGCAAGUCGAGCGGAUGAAGGGAGCUUGCUCCUGGAUGCAGCGGCGGACGGGUGAGUAAUGCCUAGGAAUCUGCCUGGUAGUUGGGGAUAACGUCCGGAAACGGGCGCUAAUACCGCAUACGUCCUGAGGGAGAAAGUGGGGGAUCUUCGGACCUCACGCUAUCAGCUGAGCCUAGGUCGUAUUAGCUAGUUGGUGGGGUAAAGGCCUACCAAGGCGACGAUCCGUAACUGGUCUGAGAGGAUGAUCAGUCACACUGGAACUGAGACACGGUCCAGACUCCUACGGGAGGCAGCAGUGGGGAAUAUUGCACAAUGGGCGAAAGCCUGAUGCAGCAAUGCCGCGUGAGUGAAGAAGGUCUUCGGAUCGUAAAGCACUUUAAGUUGGGAGGAAGAGAUGUAAGAUAAUCCGUUGCUGUUUUGACGUUACCAACAGAAAAAGCCCCGGCUAACUACGUG